AUUGAACGCUGGCGGCAGGCUUAACACAUGCAAGUCGAGCGGGGGGAGGUAGCUUGCUACCGGACCUAGCGGCGGACGGGUGAGUAAUGCUUAGGAAUCUGCCUAUUAGUGGGGGACAACAUCUCGAAAGGGAUGCUAAUACCGCAUACGUCCUACGGGAGAAAGCAGGGGAUCUUCGGACCUUGCGCUAAUAGAUGAGCCUAAGUCGGAUUAGCUAGUUGGUGGGGGAAAGGCCUACCAAGGCGACGAUCUGUAGCGGGUCUGAGAGGAUGGGCCGCCACACUGGGACGGAGAGACGGCCCAGACUCCUACGGGAGGCAGCAGUGGGGAAUAUUGGACAAUGGGGGGAACCCUGAUCCAGCCAUGCCGCGUGUGUGAAGAAGGCCUUAUGGUUGUAAAGCACUUUAAGCGAGGAGGAGGCUACUUUAGUUAAUACCUAGAGAUAGUGGACGUUACUCGCAGAAUAAGCACCGGCUAACUCUGUGCCAGCAGCCGCGGUAA
rnacentral:rRNA from 1 species